GUCGUGGGAACUGUAUUGUGCAGUGAUGAUCAAAGCUGGCCGCUGAUUGGUCAGCGUCCGUGGGACAGUGAGGUCACGUUAAGGUCAACGUGAGCACCUGUUCACCUCCAUCAUUCCAACAUGUCUCUGUCUAAAGAAGAACAGUCUCUGGUCCCUGGGGAGGAGCUGACUCUGGGCAGACUGGUGAGGUGCACCCGGUGCCUCCAUCACGGCAUCGUGGUGGCCAAGCGCGGUCACGGUAAACGGUGUCCGUUCCUUCUGUGUCGGUGCUGGAAGUGUAACCAGGUCACACAGCGGACCGAGACCUCCGACCUACACCGGAGGUUGAAGAAAAAGAAGACGAGGCAGGAGCGGCAGACGCCGGGAGGCCAAACCGGAGCAACCCAGGCUGAAGGUGGUCCGACAACCAGUGCUGAAGCCUGGGGGAGGAGGGAUCCUGCCGGCCUCCCGGGCCGGGCUGACCUGGAGGGAGAGCCGGUUUCCGGGCCGGACAUCAGGGAGGUGCUGCCCCCUGUUCCAGGUUCUUUGUGUAAUGAAGGUGUAAAUCGACCCGUGUCUUUCAGUGGUUUUCCUUAUGUGACUCCAAACGCGUUCCCAACCAACUUCCCUCCAAACCCGAGCUUCAUGAACCACGUGUCGUUACUACCACACGUACCUGCACCUGUACCUGUACCUGUACCUGUACCUGCACCUGCACCUGUACCUGUACCUGUACCUGUACCUGCACCUGCACCUGUACCUGCACUUGUACCUGCACCUGCACCUGCACCUGUACCUGUACCUGUACCUGUACCUGUUCAGCCCAACAGCAACUUCCUGUUCCUCGUUGGACCUUCCAUGUACCCUCACCAUCAGCAGGAGGGCCUUUCUCACCCUCCCAUGGGUCAUGAAGUGAUUACUGCCUUGAUGCAGUACCUGAUGACGCUGCCUUUCCACCUGCUGUGUAAAAUCAUCCAUCUGAUAAUGACCAUAGCGCCACCGCCCCCUCUUGGGCCUCAAACCACCGAGGAAACCCUUGAAGAGCACAAAUGUGUUGACCCAACAGGCCUGUGACCUCACUGUUCUCUGGGCUCAGUCACAUGUUCAGGUUUGACUCGUUUACUGAACAGUUUUUUCUGAUUUAAGACGAACAAUCAGAGGUUUUAGUCACGUUUUUAUGACCGUGC
ensembl:lncRNA